rnacentral:rRNA from 1 species
UAAGGAAUAUUGGACAAUGGAGGCAACUCUGAUCCAGUCAUGCCGCGUGAAGGAAUAAGGCCCUAUGGGUUGUAAACUUCUUUUAGACGGGACAAAACCCCUUUACGUGUAAAGGGUUGAUGGUACUGUCAGAAUAAGCAUCGGCUAACUUCGUGCCAGCAGCCGCGGUAAUACGAAGGAUGCAAGCGUUAUCCGGAAUUAUUGGGUUUAAAGGGUGCGUAGGCGGACUAAUAAGUCAGUGGUGAAAGCCUGCAGCUUAACUGCAGAAUUGCCAUUGAUACUGUUAGUCUUGAGUACAGUUGAGGUAGGCGGAAUGUGUCAUGUAGCGGUGAAAUGCUUAGAUAUGACACAGAACACCGAUUGCGAAGGCAGCUUGCUAAGCUGUAACUGACGCUGAGGCACGAAAGCGUGGGGAGCAAACA